rnacentral:rRNA from 1 species
AACGAACGCUGGCGGCAGGCCUAACACAUGCAAGUCGAGCGAACCCUUCGGGGUUAGCGGCGGACGGGUUAGUAACGCGUGGGAAUAUACCCUUUGGUACGGAAUAGCCUCGGGAAACUGAGAGUAAUACCGUAUGUGCCCUUCGGGGAAGGAUUUAUCGCCAAAGGAUUAGCCCGCGUUGGAUUAGAUAGUUGGUGGGGUAAGUGGCCUACCAAGUCUACGAUCCAUAGCUGGUUUGAGAGGAUGAUCAGCAACACUGGGACUGAGACACGGCCCAGACUCCUACGGGAGGCAGCAGUGGGGGAAUCUUAGACAAUGGGCGCAAGCCUGAUCUAGCCAUGCCGCGUGGACGAUGAAGGCCUUAGGGUUGUAAAGUCCUUUCUAGUAGGGAAAGUAAUGACGGUACCGUACAGAAGAAGACACCGGCGUAACUACCGUCGCCA